rnacentral:rRNA from 1 species
UGGGGAAUUUUGGACAAUGGGCGAAAGCCUGAUCCGGCAAUGCCGCGUGUGUGAAGAAGGCCUUCGGGUUGUAAAGCACUUUUGUCCGGAAAGAAAUCCUUGGCUCUAAUACAGUCGGGGGAUGACGGUACCGGAAGAAUAAGCACCGGCUAACUACGUGCCAGCAGCCGCGGUAAUACGUAGGGUGCAAGCGUUAAUCGGAAUUACUGGGCGUAAAGCGUGCGCAGGCGGUUUGCUAAGACCGAUGUGAAAUCCCCGGGCUCAACCUGGGAACUGCAUUGGUGACUGGCAGGCUAGAGUAUGGCAGAGGGGGGUAGAAUUCCACGUGUAGCAGUGAAAGUGCGUAGAGAUGUGGAGGAAUACCGAUGGCGAAGGCAGCCCCCUGGGCCAAUACUGACGCUCAUGCACGAAAGCGUGGGGAGCAAACAGGAUUAGAUACCCUGGUAGUCCACGCCCUAAACGAUGUCAACUAGUUGUGGGGAUUCAUUCCUUAGUAACGUAGCUAACGCGUGAAGUUGACCGCCUGGGGAGUACGGUCGCAAGAUUAAAACUUAAAUGAAUUGACGGGGUCAUAGCUGUUUCCU